AGGAAGGGAAAAAGCAGUAAACAUUCUUCACUUUUGGACAAAAGCUGAGAUGAAAUUUUUGUCAGGAACCUCCCUGUGGGCCAAGGGUUCUGUCGUCGGAGGUGGAGGGUGGGGAAUGGAAGACCCAACUUCCCUCGAGAAAGGUUGAGAGGUUGAGUCGGACGAAGCCAAUCCCUCAGAUGUGGGAUGUAAUCACAACGCCCCUCGAUGGUUGCCCCUCGCUGUCCACGUGAGCUGUUCAGCAAGGGAGAUGCGCCCCUUCUGUUCAGGCUCAGAGUUGCAGUGUGCUCUGGGCCCAGCAGAUGGUGAAAGCUGUUUCCUGGGGCAUCUCUUGGGUUCUUCAGAGGUUCCUAUCUCUGCAUCUCUUUUACAGCAACCCUAAGAAACUAAUGCAGUCGUAAGAAACAUUGUCAUCUCUUCCUUGCUCUCUCUCAAAUCACUCAUCCUGAGGGAAGCAGGCCACCAUGUCAUGAAGAUCCUCAAGCAGACCUAUGGAGAGGUCCACAUGGCAAGGAACCAAGGCCUGUCAACAGCCAGCACCAACCUGCCUCCAUGAAUCUUCCAGGCUGGUCUUUCCCAAGGCAACUUGUACACCUUGCAGGUAAGAAUAGCCACCAUUUCUGCAGCAUCUACUCAGCAGCAAGUGAUUUCUAAUCUUCCCAGCACCCUUCAAGGCAAGGGAUUAUGACCCACAUUUAGCAGUUCUGAAGAGUAAUAUUCAAGAACAAGCCCCAGGUCACAAAGCUAAUGAGGGGCAGAGUGGGGAUUCCAACCUCGACCUGUCAAACCCUAACACCCCUCAUGUCCACCUGCCCUUCACUCAGGGGCAUUCGGUCUGAGGAUUAAAGCCAGUGCCCCAGGAACUGGAAUCUUCUCCAGCCUCAGGGGCUUACCAAGGAGGGGUAGACACGGAACAGUGAGGCUGCAAAGAGUGGUAGCUAAAGAGGAUGGGGUCUGAGGCCAGAUUGCCCAGGUUUGCAGCCUAACUUCCCAUUAUGCUCCUAGCUGCUGAUUCCUCAUCUGAAAGAUGGAGAGAAGGGCACCUAACUCCUUGGGUUGUCGGGAAGAUUAGAUGAGAUAAUACAUGAAAUUCAUGGGAAGAGUAAAUAGUCCAUGAUGUUUGUUUUCUAUGAAUAAAUAUUAUUGACAUUACUGUCCCUUCAUGGCCACCAGACUCUUCUAUCAGGUCAAUAUUUGCAAAGGAACACAUUUACAUGAAACAGAUAUAAAAUUGGAGGCUGAUGGAAAUUUGUGGCUGGAAGGCUGUUUUCUGCUUUGGGGAGAGAUUCUUUCCCAGCUCUAAGACAGCUCCCUGUGCAAGGUGAUGAGUGUGAUUAAUUGCAAUCAGCUCCUCUCCACAUAAUGAGGAAAGUUGGAUGUCACCCUGUGGCUUCCGUCCAGAACAAUAUACUAUGACAUCUUUUGGGGACCAGAAGGCUGCCUCUGAGGAUGAGACUAUCUGUCCUGCGCACCACCGUGUCCUGAUGCACUGUGCCCGAACAAACGAUUGAUAUGUAUUUGUGGACAGAAUGAUGGAAAGAGGGAUCUGAAAACCUGGGAGACCUGAUGAGGCCUCUCAUGUGUGAAAGGGCCUCCCAUUAUACGCUUCCAUGGAACCUGGUACUUCUCAUGACUCUUAUCACAUUUUGCAAUUACUAUGAAUUUGUGGAAGUAUUACAUUGAUGCCUCUGAAGGCUGUGACUGAUUUGUUUCUCAUUGUCUCCCCUGUGCCUGGUACAGUGCCUUGUACCUGCUAGGUGCUCUGCAAACAGGAACUGUAUGAGUGAACGAAUGAAUAUGUGCAAAAGGCACUAUGGGCUCAGGUGACUCUGAGCUCCAGCAGCGCAGUGAGAGGUGGUGGUGGGGAGGGGUUUGUGCCAUAGCUGCAGGGGUUCAAAACCAGUCAGUUGUUACUAGCUGUGUGGCCUUGGGUUGGUUACUUACCUCUCUGUGCGUCACCUUGUUUAUCUGCAUGGUGGGAAUAAUAACAAUACUCAUUUUGUAGGGCUGCAAGAGGAUUAAAUGAGUCAUACAUGGAGCAUGCUUACAGGUGAGUCUGCCCCACGUUAAGCACCACCAGAAGUCAUGUCUUGUUGUUAUCAAAGUGCCUAGCAGUGAGCUCCCUCUUGCUUUAACCCUGGAGAAUUCUCAGGGUCUCAGGCUCAGCUUCUGGAAAAUUCUCUCUAGUAGACAGGGCUAAUAACGAGACCCAAGGAAGAAGCGCAGGGUUUACAUUUGGAUCGACCCUCCCAGGAUUUGCUAUCCCCACCUGCCCGGGGCCUCAAAGAUGGUCCUAGGCAGUGUGUUUGGGGUGCGGCCUGGCUCCCACCCCUCUGGCUGCUCCCCACAGCAUGGAGCUGGCGUCCCUGGCCUUCCCUCACCACCCGCCUGGCACGGAGCUGACUCACCGCCAGGAGGGGUGGUGAUUAGCAUGCAGGGCAGGUACCCGGAGGAAAGCUGUCUCCAUGCAACAGCUCUUGAUGUGUUUCUCUGAUUAAUGUGGCAGAGAGAACAUUGCAGCUUUUUCCUGAAUGGUCGCCACGUGGAGCUGGAGUCAUUAGCAUCACGUCUCCCGCUUGCCAUGACCUGCUGACCACCCUAAGUAGAUAAAAAUGAAAAUGGCCAAGACAGCUGCAAGGCUCCGAAACAAACUGCCUGGUGGCUCUGCAGAGUCUUUUAUGUGCAAGGUUUCCCGAACAGCCCCGCCUUCCCCAUCCUCUCAAACCCCUGUAAAGCGGUCCUUAAAGUUUCUGCUUCUCUGACUGCCAGUCCCUGGGGAGGGCAGAGCCCCUUUCUCAGGAAUGGAGCCCAAAUGUGAGCCAUGUCACUGCCGCCCCGCAGGUGUGUGCCCAGGUGGAAGAAGAGAGGAAGACGGAGAGGGG